rnacentral:rRNA from 1 species
GACGGAGGAUGCAAGCGUUAUCCGGAAUUAUUGGGCGUAAAGCGUCCGCAGGUGGCAGUUCAAGUCUGCUGUCAAAGACCGGGGCUUAACUUCGGAAAGGCAGUGGAAACUGAACAGCUAGAGUAUGGUAGGGGCAGAGGGAAUUCCUGGUGUAGCGGUGAAAUGCGUAGAUAUCAGGAAGAACAUCGGUGGCGAAGGCGAGUCCCUGGACACUUCCUGACGCUGAGGCCCGAAAGCUAGGGGAGCAAACAGG